AGAAUCAACGCUGGCGGCGUGCCUAACACAUGCAAGUCGCACGAGAAAGUGGAGCAAUCCACGAGUAAAGUGGCGCACGGGUGAGUAACACGUGACUAACCUACCCUUGAGUGGGGGAUAACCUAGAGAAAUCUGGGCUAAUACCGCAUAAUACCUUCGGGUCAAAGGAGCAAUUCGCUUAAGGAGGGGGUCGCGGCCGAUUAGUUAGUUGGCGGGGUAAUGGCCCACCAAGACUGUGAUCGGUA
rnacentral:rRNA from 1 species